GAUGAACGCUAGCUACAGGCUUAACACAUGCAAGUCGAGGGGCAGCAUAUAGAUAGCUUGCUAUUUUAUGAUGGCGACCGGCGCACGGGUGAGUAACGCGUAUCCAACCUUCCCCUUAGUAGGGCAUAGCCCGGUGAAAAUCGGAUUAAUACCCUAUAUUCUUCACAGCGGACAUCUAACGUGAAGCAAAGAUUCAUCGCUAAGGGAGUGGGGAUGCGUCUGAUUAGGUAGUCGGCGGGGUAACGGCCCACCGAGCCAUCGAUCAGUAGGGGUUCUGAGAGGAAGGUCCCCCACAUUGGAACUGAGACACGGUCCAAACUCC
rnacentral:rRNA from 1 species